AAUAUUGAACAAUGGGGGCAACCCUGAUCCAGCCAUCCCGCGUGUGUUAAGAAUGUCUUCGGAUUUUAAAGCACAUUAAGUUAGGAGGAAUGGCAGUACGCUACUACCUUUCUGUUUUGACGUUACCGACAGAAUACGCACCGGCUAACUUCGUGCCUGCAGCCGCGGUAAUACGAAGGGUGCAAGCGUUAAUCGGAAUGACUGGGCGUAAAGCGCGCGUUGUUGGUUUGUUAAGGUCGAAAUAAAAGCCCCGGGCUCGACCUGGGAACUGCUUUGAAAACUGGCAAGCUAGGGUAAAGAAGAGGGUAGUGGAAUUUCCUGUGUAGCGGUGAAAUGCGUGGAUAUAGGAAGGAACACCAGUGGCGAGGGCGACCACCUGGGCUAAUACUGACACUGUGGUGCGAAAGCGUGGGGAGCAAACAG
rnacentral:rRNA from 1 species